rnacentral:rRNA from 1 species
AACGAACGCUGGCGGCAGGCCUAACACAUGCAAGUCGAACGCAUCGCAAGAUGAGUGGCGCACGGGUGAGUAACACGUGGGAAUGUGCCCUUUGGUUCGGAAUAACGUCUGGAAACGGACGCUAACACCGGAUGUCCCCUGCGGGGAAAGAUUUAUCGCCAAAGGAGCGGCCCGGGUCUGAUUAGGUAGUUGGUGGGGUAAAGGCCUACCAAGCCGACGAUCAGUAGCUGGUCUGAGAGGAUGAUCAGCCACACUGGGACUGAGACACGGCCCAGACUCCUACGGGAGGCAGCAGUGGGGAAUAUUGAACAAUGGGCGCAAGCCUGAUCCAGCCAUGCCGCGUGAGUGAUGAAGGCCUUCGGGUUGUAAAGCUCUUUCGCACGCGACGAUGAUGACGGUAGCGUGAGAAGAAGCCCCGGCUAACUUCGUGCCAGCCGCCGCAGUAACAC